UUGCUUGCAAGAAAUAUGAGAGCGGCAGACGAGUGAGUAACACGUUGGAAUCUGCCCCUAAGUGAGGGAUAGCUCCGGGAAACCGGAAUUAAUACCGCAUAUGCCCUACGGGGUAAAGCAGCAAUGCGCUUAGGGAGGAGCCUGCGGUCUAUCAGCUAGUUGGUAAGGUAAUGGCUUACCAAGGCUACGACGGAUAACUGGUGUGAGAGCACGACCAGUCACGAUGGAACUGAGACACGGUCCAUACUCC
rnacentral:rRNA from 1 species